GUAUAUUUUUAGGUACCUAAAGAAUUCUGAGAGAAUUGGAGAAUUCUAGAGAACUUUAGACUUCUGUGUGACUUCUUUUUCCUGUGGAUGAUGUAUGGUAGAACAUGUAAAUUCACUGUGGUCUUCUCUAAGGUGGAAACUUUUGAGACAUCAAGAGUCCCUAGUUAGUUCUCAUGGCAACAUCUUCAACAACUCUUCAGGAUAUAGGCUUCACAUAACAGCUUAUUUCAUCAAAAGAGGGAUUCACCUUCAUUAUAUUGUGGGGAAACUGAAUUAUGGGUGAAAAAAAUAGAAUCAAAGAUAAAUAACACAAGCAAAUUACAAUUAGGUAAGAACACUAUGGAAAUUUCUAUUGGCUCAUUCACUUCAGAUAUAGAGGACAAGAAGAAUAAAUAUCAAGCUUCCUCCA
rnacentral:lncRNA from 1 species